rnacentral:antisense_RNA from 1 species
GUUGCCAUGCAGAAUGUCUAUUGAUCAGCUGGGCACAUCUGCACACAUUUACAAUAUCUGCCACCUCUUUUAACCCUCAACCCCGCCCCACAAAAUGAGUGAUGGUGCUUGUUGAUUUGCAGAUUCACGGUCUGGUGAGACAAGUUUGAGAUCUCAUAUUUUCAGCUCACCCUUGAAAACCUUUCUUGGAUUUGACUGACCUUGAUGGCUCCCUGGAAUUUCACCUACAUUUUAUGGGAACUUCAACUCUCCAGAGAGAAGAGCUUUCAGAUAGCUACAGGACUUGCAACUAUGACUUUUAGCUUUCACUUUUGAAUGAGGCUCCAAAUGUCUCAAUGGUGGCGCUAUUUCCAGAUUUGGGAGCCCUGCAAAGCUAAUCUGCUCAACCUUCACCUACUGGGUUCAAUGAAUAUGAAAAGCUGCCUUCCUGAAACUCUUCCUUCAAAGAGGAAAUGAUCUCCUGGAAUUCAAGCUUCUACAAGGUGGCUACCUGGUGUUUUCCACUUUUGCCUUCUCCUAAAAAGCAUCAAUCAAGCCUUGCCCUUUCAACCCACUGAACACAUAAACAUGCUUUCUCCUUAACUGAACUUAUGGUCAUGAUGAACUUGAACUCUGAGAUGCACAGAGGAGAGUUUGUUUUAACAGCUGCUUUUACAAUGAAGCCCUGGAGUUACUACUCUCAAGACCCCUGGUUCUGAUAGGCCGUCUUUUCACUGUCCUCUGCAUUUUCUAAUGCCCAGCUGUCAAGGAACACCCACUGAAGUUUUCCAAAAUAAAGGCACAAAACACAAGAAAGAAAACUGUGUGCAGGCCCAAGGAGAACAACU